rnacentral:rRNA from 1 species
UACUCCCGCCGGCGACCGGCGCACGGGUGAGUAACACGUAUGAAACCUGCCCGUAGCAGGGGGAUAAGCGGAAGAAAUUCCGUCUAAUACCGCGUAACAACCCGAGGGGGCAUCUCCUCGGGUUUAAAGGAAGCGAUUCCGGCUACGGAUGGUCAUGCGUCGCAUUAGCUAGUUGGCGGGGUAACGGCCCACCAAGGCGACGAUGCGUAGGGGCUCUGAGAGGAAGGUCCCCCACACUGGUACUGAGACACGGACCAGACUCCUACGGAAGGCAGCAG